GCCCCGGUGGUGUAGCCCGGUCAAACAUGCGGGCCUUUCGAGCCCGCGCCCCGGGUUCAAAUCCCGGCCGGGGCACCA
rnacentral:tRNA from 66 species